CCCUUUUUAUAGUCAACUUCCACAACAUUAAUAUAAUUUUAGUUUAGCAGCUCAGAAUCUGUUCCUUUUCGCCGGAGCCCUUCUGAAUGUCCGUUUUGUGUCCAAAUUUGACAGUCAGGCUCGGUUUAAGCUAAUAAAAAAAAAUAUAUCUUAACUUUUCAGUUUGGACCAUUUUUUAUCACCGAAAACUCUACCGACUAAAGUCUCUAGCAGAUAGCAGUCAGAUUUUAUUUUUUACUUUUCGGGUGUCGGAAUGACAUGAAACUUUAAAUCUAGCCUCAUAAAAAUAAUUCCGACAUAUUUUCAAGUUUUCAUAAUUUUCUGACACUGUGAAUUUUCUGCUAAAAUAUCAUCCCCGCUUCUUAUAGAAAAUUCUAAAUCUUCUGUGUCCAUUCCAAUUUCAACACAAGUCAUUUCUGACUUAUAUUUUACUUUUUUAAGUCCAAUAAAAAUAGUAUCUCAUACUAUUUUUAUUUAUACUUACUUUUAUAUCAAGAAGUCGGUAUAUUACAUAUCUCAUA
rnacentral:lncRNA from 1 species